rnacentral:rRNA from 1 species
GACGAACGCUGGCGGCGUGCUUAACACAUGCAAGUCGAACGGAAAGGCCCUGCUUGCCGGGUACUCGAGUGGCGAACGGGUGAGUAACACGUGGGUGAUCUGCCCUGCACUUCGGGAUAAGCCUGGGAAACUGGGUCUAAUACCGGAUAGGAGCCAUAUUUAGUGUGAUGGUUGGAAAGUUUUUUCGGUGUAGGAUGAGCUCGCGGCCUAUCAGCUUGUUGGUGGGGUAAUGGCCUACCAAGGCGGCGACGGGUAGCCGGCCUGAGAGGGUGGACGGCCACAGUGGGACUGAGACACGGCCCAGACUCCUACGGGAGGGAGCAGGGGGGAAUAUUGCACAAGGGGCGCAAGCCUGAUGCAGAGACGCCGCGGGGGGGAGGACGGCCUUCGGGUUGGAAACUCCUUUCGCUAGGGACGAAGCUUUUUGUGACGGUACCUAGAUAAGAAGCACCGGCUAACUACGUG